rnacentral:rRNA from 1 species
GAGUUUGAUCCUGGCUCAGGACGAACGCUGGCGGCGCGCCUAACACAUGCAAGUCGAACGGAGUCAAGAGGAGCUUGCUUUUCUUGACUUAGUGGCGAACGGGUGAGUAACGCGUGAGUAACCUGCCCUAGAGUGGGGGACAACAGUUGGAAACGACUGCUAAUACCGCAUAAGCCCACGGUACCGCAUGGUACUGAGGGAAAAGGAUUUAUUCGCUUUAGAAUGGACUCGCGUCCAAUUAGCUAGUUGGUGAGGUAACGGCCCACCAAGGCGACGAUUGGUAGCCGGACUGAGAGGUUGAACGGCCACAUUGGGACUGAGACACGGCCCAGACUCCUACGGGAGGCAGCAGUGGGGAAUAUUGCACAAUGGGGGAAACCCUGAUGCAGCGACGCCGCGUGAAGGAAGAAGUAUCUCGGUAUGUAAAGCUCUAUCAGCAGGGAAGAAAAUGACGGCACCUGACUAAGAAGCCCCGGCUAACUACGUGCCAGCCGCCGCGGUAAUUC